rnacentral:rRNA from 1 species
CCUACGGGGGGCUGCAGUGGGGAAUAUUGCACAAUGGGCGCAAGCCUGAUGCAGCCAUGCCGCGUGUGUGAAGAAGGCCUUCGGGUUGUAAAGCACUUUCAGCGGGGAGGAAGGCGUUAAGGUUAAUAACCUUGUCGAUUGACGUUACCCGCAGAAGAAGCACCGGCUAACUCCGUGCCAGCAGCCGCGGUAAUACGGAGGGUGCAAGCGUUAAUCGGAAUUACUGGGCGUAAAGCGCACGCAGGCGGUCUGUCAAGUCGGAUGUGAAAUCCCCGGGCUCAACCUGGGAACUGCAUUCGAAACUGGCAGGCUAGAGUCUUGUAGAGGGGGGUAGAAUUCCAGGUGUAGCGGUGAAAUGCGUAGUGAUCUGGAGGAAUACCGGUGGCGAAGGCGGCCCCCUGGACAAAGACUGACGCUCAGGUGCGAAAGCGUGGGGAGCAAACAGGAUUAGAUACCCGUGUAGUC